CGGCUAAUGGUCUAGAGGUAUGAUUCGCCCUUCGGGUUUUCCCGGCUGUGUUCCUACGGCCUCAGAGAAUGGGCGAGGCCCCCGGUUCGAAUCCGGGUUAGCCCC